GAUGAACGCUGGCGGCGUGCCUAAUACAUGCAAGUCGAGCGAACCACUUCGGUGGUGAGCGGCGAACGGGUGAGUAACACGUAGGUGAUCUGCCCAUCAGACGGGGACAACGAUUGGAAACGAUCGCUAAUACCGGAUAGGACGAAAGUUUAAAGGUGCUUCUGGCACCGCUAAUGGAUGAGCCUGCGGCGCAUUAGCUAGUUGGUAGGGUAAAGGCCUACCAAGGCGACGAUGCGUAGCCGAACUGAGAGGGUGAACGGCCACACUGGGACUGGAAACCGGCCAAGACUCCUACGGGAGGCAGCAGUAGGGAAUCUUCGGCAAUGGGCGAAAGCCUGACCGAGCAACGCCGCGUGAAUGAUGAAGGCCUUCGGGUUGUAAAAUUCUGUUAUAAGGGAAGAACGACUUUAGUAGGAAAUGGCUAGAGUGUGACGGUACCUUAUGAGAAAGCCACGGCUAACUACGUGCCAGCAGCCGCCGUAAUAC
rnacentral:rRNA from 1 species